CAAUAGCGUAUAUUAAAGUUGUUGCAGUUAAAAAGCUCGUAGUUGGAUUUCUGGUUGAAGCGACCGGUCGGGCGUUGAUUCGUCUGCACUGGAGUCGGUUUUGGCCAUCCUCUAGGAAAGUGCGUCUGGUAUUAAGUUAUCGGGCGUAUGAUCCUGGUCUUUUACUGUGAAAAAAUUAGAGUGUUUAAAGCAGGCCUUCGCCUUGAAUACAUUAGCAUGGAAUAAUAAGAUAGGACUUUGGUCUAUUUUGUUGGUUUGCAGACCGAAGUAAUGAUUAAUAGGGAUAGUUGGGGGUAUUUAUAUUCCGAUGCCAGAGGUGAAAUUCUUAGAUUUUCGGAAGAUAAACUUAUGCGAAAGCAUUUACCAAGGAUGUUUNCAUUAA
rnacentral:rRNA from 1 species